GCCAGUAUGGCUCAUUUGGUUGAGCAUUGGCAUUUGCACCAGGAGGUCACUGGUUCGAUUCCAGUUCCAGGCA
rnacentral:tRNA from 1 species